AUAUCUUGGUUCUCCCACCAAAGCCUUCUCAUUAAAAAUGCUAAUAGUUCUGUUUUCCUUCUGCCAUCGAUUACAGUCAUAUGGUCCUUAAUUUAUACAACAAAAUAAAUAGACUUCAUGACUCCUAACAAUGAUUUGAAACUAACUAAAACGAAACAUUGAAACUGCUUUUUUUAAUUAGUUUUAUAACCAAACAUAGCCAAUUUUCAUGAAUAUGUUCCAAGUUUUGGGGGGUUUAUUUUGUUUGGUUGAUUGGGGUUGUGUGUGGGGGGGGGUAUUUCAAGAUGUUCAGGUUCUUAACUGGAGCUCUAGAGAUGUGCUGAUCUUUGGGCCACUACUUAGCUAUUGUACACCAGCCCAUUUGUGUCCUGGGCAUUUUUUUUUUUUUUUUUUUACAACGAGAACAAUUAAAAUGAGUAGGCAUGAAAAAAAGCUGGGUCUAGCUAGACCUUGCCAGCUCCACUGCUUUGUCUCAAGCCAGUGCUCAUCUGUUUUAGAACCCUUGAGAAUCCUCUCACCCAUAGCUAUGGGAAGCAGGAAGCUAUCAAGCCAAAUGUAGUUUAAUUCCGAUAAGCACCUGUCAACAUUCUAAAAGUAACUCUAGGUACAUUAAACCUGGAAAGAUGCCAAAUGAAAAAAACGGUGCUUGAAAAGGCAGUCUCUUACAAAGUAAGGAGUAAAGGGAGAAACAGACAAGUUCUUGGGAUUCCAAACACGGGGUCAGAUAUUCCAGACGUUAAGAGGAAAUCUAUUUUAAGAGAAGUUUUUACUUAGACACUUUAGAAAUAUCCACUCCCCUUAAAUGUAAGUCAUGUAUUUUAUCUAUUAAAGUCCAAGCCAUUGUCCUUGGCAAGAAUCCUGGCCAUCACUGCCAGAUCACUGUAUACAUUUAAUAAAAAAUAUUU
rnacentral:lncRNA from 1 species